GACGAACGCUGGCGGCGUGCCUAAUACAUGCAAGUAGAACGAGUUGCGAACGGGUGAGUAACGCGUGGUAACCUGCCUCAUAGCGUGGGAUAACUACUGGAAACGGUAGCUACUACCGCCUACCAUCGGCUGUGCCCAGAUGGGAUUAGCUAGUAGGUUGGGUAACGGCUCACCUAGGAGACGAUCCCUAUCUGGUAUGAGAGGAUGACCAGCCACACUGGAACUGAGACACGGUCCAGACUCCUACGGGAGGCAGCAGUGGGGAAUAUUGCACAAUGGGCGCAAGCCUGAUGCAGCCAUGCAGCGUGUAUGAAGAAGGCCGUCGGGUUGUAAAGUACUUUAAGCGAGGAGGCGUUACUCGCAGAAGAAGCACCGGCUAACUCCGUGCCAGCAGCCGCGGUAAUAC
rnacentral:rRNA from 1 species